UACGUAGGGUGCAAGCGUUGUCCGGAAUUAUUGGGCGUAAAGAGCUCGUAGGCGGUUUGUUGCGUCGGCUGUGAAAUCCCGAGGCUCAACCUCGGGUCUGCAGUCGAUACGAGCAAACUAGAGUGUUGCAGGGGAGACUGGAAUUCCUGGUGUAGCGGUGAAAUGCGCAGAUAUCAGGAGGAACACUGGUGGCGAAGGCGGGGUCUCUGGGCAACAACUGACGCUGAGGAGCGAAAGCGUGGGGGAGCGAACAGG
rnacentral:rRNA from 1 species